UUAAUACUUCUUUGUGAUGGUUUAACUCCCGUUAGUAGUCAACUUGCGCAACCAACCUCCUUACUGCCCAUUCACCUUCUCACAUGCUCACACAUUCCCACAGAAUGCUCCCGCUCUCCUCAUGAUUCCACUCCACAAUUGCGUAGUCUUUAAUGAUUCCUUCAUAUAAUCUUUAACAUUCUUUCACUCUGUGCUUCAUCAUUGUGUGAUCUCUGAUAUUUCUUCAUUCUGAUUCCUUUUCUAUAAGAACUCUCUUUAUAUAAUCUUUUCUUCUGCUUUCUUUUCUCUUUUUUUUUCUUAAUCAAUUUGUAAUCUGUAUUGAAACAGUGCUUGGUCUGUUUGUACACCUGUUGCAGAUGGUACAAAUGGUACUGUACAAUCUGCAACAUUGGCUUAAUUGAUAGCACGCCCGUUACAUUUUUCAUCUACUUAUUUAUACAUUUCAAUAAAAAUCUUCUUUUUAAAAUUUCAGUUUACAAUUAUAUAGUCUUUUAAUAUAUUUCCACCUCAUAAUUUUUUAUUAUCGUGUAUUUUCAUUUAUAAUUUAUAUAGUUAUGCUUUUUAAAUAAAUUAUUGUAAUCUAAAUGAAGAUUUAAAGAUCUUUAUAUUGAAGAAAGAAUCAUGAUAUUCAUUUUUACUAUCUAUAUUAAUAAUAAUGUAUGAGA
rnacentral:sRNA from 1 species